rnacentral:tRNA from 1 species
GCCUUCGUGGUGUAGUGGUCAGCAUUCUUGACGCCAACUGAGAGGUCCGUGGUUCGACUCCCGGCGAAGGCG